rnacentral:rRNA from 1 species
UACGGGGGGAGCAAGCGUUGUUCGGAUUUACUGGGCGUAAAGGGCGCGUAGGCGGCGUAACAAGUCACUUGUGAAAUCUCCGGGCUUAACCCGGAGCGGCCAAGUGAUACUGUUGUGCUAGAGUGCGGAAGGGGCUACUGGAAUUCUCGGUGUAGCGGCGAAAUGCGUAGAUAUCGAGAGGAACACCUGCGGCGAAGGCGGGUAGCUGGGCCGACACUGACGCUGAGGCGCGAAAGCCAGGGGAGCGAACGGG